AGAGUUUGAUCCUGGCUCAGGAUGAACGCUGGCGGCGUGCCUAACACAUGCAAGUCGAACGGAGUUCUUAAGGAAUGCGGCUUCGGUCAAAUGACUUUUGAACUUAGUGGCGGACGGGUGAGUAACGCGUGAGCAACCUGCCUUUCAGAGGGGGAUAACAUUUGGAAACAGAUGCUAAUACCGCAUAAGAUUACAGUACCGCAUGAUACAGUGAUCAAAGGAGCAAUCCGCUGAAAGAUGGGCUCGCGUCCGAUUAGAUAGUUGGUGAGGUAACGGCUCACCAAGUCGACGAUCGGUAGCCGGACUGAGAGGUUGAACGGCCACAUUGGGACUGAGACACGGCCCAGACUCCUACGGGAGGCAGCAGUGGGGAAUAUUGCACAAUGGGCGAAAGCCUGAUGCAGCAACGCCGCGUGAGGGAAGACGGUUUUCGGAUUGUAAACCUCUGUUUUCGGUGACGAACAAAUGACGGUAACCGAGUAGGAAGCCACGGCUAACUACGUGCCAGCAGCCGCGGUAAUACGUAGGUGGCAAGCGUUAUCCGGAAUUACUGGGUGUAAAGGGAGCGCAGGCGGGAUAGCAAGUCAGCUGUGAAAACUAUGGGCUCAACCCAUAAACUGCAGUUGAAACUGUUAUUCUUGAGUGGAGUAGAGGCAAGCGGAAUUCCGAGUGUAGCGGUGAAAUGCGUAGAUAUUCGGAGGAACACCAGUGGCGAAGGCGGCUUGCUGGGCUCUAACUGACGCUGAGGCUCGAAAGUGUGGGGAGCAAACAGGAUUAGAUACCCUGGUAGUCCACACUGUAAACGAUGAUUGCUAGGUGUGGGGGGUCUGACCCCCUCCGUGCCGGAGUUAACGCAAUAAGCAAUCCACCUGGGGAGUACGGCCGCAAGGUUGAAACUCAAAGGA
rnacentral:rRNA from 1 species